rnacentral:rRNA from 1 species
UACGGAGGGAGCUAGCGUUGUUCGGAAUUACUGGGCGUAAAGCGCGCGUAGGCGGAUUUGCAAGUCGGGGGUGAAAUCCCGAGGCUCAACCUCGGAACUGCCUUCGAUACUGCAAAUCUCGAGUCCGGAAGAGGUGAGUGGAAUUCCUAGUGUAGAGGUGAAAUUCGUAGAUAUUAGGAAGAACACCAGUGGCGAAGGCGGCUCACUGGUCCGGUACUGACGCUGAGGCGCGAAAGCGUGGGGAGCAAACAGG